rnacentral:rRNA from 1 species
CAUGGAAUAAAUAAAAGUAGGGACGGCAGUUGGUUCUUAUUUUGUUGGUUUCUAGGAUCACCGUAAUGAUUAAUAGGGAUAGGUUGGGGGCAUUAGUAUUCAAUUGUCAGAGGUGAAAUUCUUGGAUUUAUUGAAGACUAACUUCUGCGAAAGCAUUUGCCAAGGAUUGUUUUCAUUAAUCAAGAACGAAAGUUAGGGGAUCGAAGACGAUCAGAUACCGUCGUAGUCUUAACCAUAAACUAUGCCGACUAGGAAUCGGACGAUGUUAAUUUUUUAAUGACUCGUUCGGCACCUUACG